rnacentral:rRNA from 1 species
GGAUGCGAUCAUACAAGCACUAAAGCACCGGAUCCCAUCAGAACUCCGAAGUUAAGUGUGCUUGGGCGAGAGUAGUACUAUGAUGGGUGACCUCCUGGGAAGUCCUCGUGUUGCAUUCC